rnacentral:rRNA from 1 species
AGUGAACGCUGGCGGUAGGCCUAACACAUGCAAGUCGAACGGCAGCACAGUAAGAGCUUGCUCUUACGGGUGGCGAGUGGCGGACGGGUGAGGAAUACAUCGGAAUCUACUUUUUCGUGGGGGAUAACGUAGGGAAACUUACGCUAAUACCGCAUACGACCUACGGGUGAAAGCAGGGGAUCUUCGGACCUUGCGCGAUUGAAUGAGCCGAUGUCGGAUUAGCUAGUUGGCGGGGUAAAGGCCCACCAAGGCGACGAUCCGUAGCUGGUCUGAGAGGAUGAUCAGCCACACUGGAACUGAGACACGGUCCAGACUCCUACGGGAGGCAGCAGUGGGGAAUAUUGGACAAUGGGCGCAAGCCUGAUCCAGCCAUACCGCGUGGGUGAAGAAGGCCUUCGGGUUGUAAAGCCCUUUUGUUGGGAAAGAAAAGCAGCAGGUUAAUACCCCGCUGUUCUGACGGUACCCAAAGAAAAAGCACCGGCUAACUUCGU